GAUGAACGCUGGCGGCGUGCCUAAUACAUGCAAGUCGAGCGAACAGACGAGGAGCUUGCUUCUCUGACGUUAGCGGCGGACGGGUGAGUAACACGUGGAUAACCUACCUAUAAGACUGGGAUAACUUCGGGAAACCGGAGCUAAUACCGGAUAAUAUAUUGAACCGCAUGGUUCCAUAGUGAAAGACGGUUUUGCUGUCACUUAUAGAUGGAUCGCCGCCGCAUUAGCUAGUUGGUAAGAAAACGGUUUACCAAGGAAACGAUGCAUAGCCGACCGGCGAGGUGAACCGCCAACACUGGAACGGGGACACGGUCCAGACUCCUACGGGAGGCAGCAGUAGGGAAUCUUCCGCAAGGGGCGAAAGCCUGACGGAGCAACGCCGCGUGAGUGAUGAAGGUCUUCGGAUCUUAAAACUCUGUUAUUAGGGAAGAACAGAUGUGUAAGUAACUGUGCACAUCUUGACGGUACCUAAUCAGAAAGCCACGGCUAACUACGUG
rnacentral:rRNA from 1 species